rnacentral:RNase_P_RNA from 1 species
AAAGCAGAUCGGAUGAUCGCUGGUUGUCCCGCUUAAGUUUUUAGGGAAACCAGAGGAAAGUCCGAACUCCGAGGGCAGGGUGCUUCGUAACACGAAGUGGGGGGGACCCCAAGGAAAGUGCCACAGAAAAUAUACCGUCUUAUCUAAGCUCUUUUUGAGUUAAGAUAAGAUAAGGGUGAAAAGGGGAGGUAAGAGCUCACCGCUUCAGAGGUGACUUUGAAGGCAUGGCAAACCCCACCUGGAGCAAGACCAAAUAGGAAAGCAUAUCUGAGCCGCCCUCUCAGCGCUUUCGGGUAGGUCGCAUAAGGUGUCUGGUGACAGGCAUCUUUAGAUUAAUGAUCAUCUCCUCAAACUCCUUGAGAUUUGAGGAACAGAAUUCGGCUUAUAGAUCUGCUUUGAUU